UACGAAGGGGGCGAGCGUUGUUCGGAUUUACUGGGCGUAAAGGGCGCGCAGGCGGCUCAUUUUGUCAGGCGUGAAAGCCCCGGGCUUAACCUGGGAACUGCGUUUGAUACGGAUGGGCUAGAGUUCGGGAGAGGAGAGUGGAAUUCCCAGUGUAGAGGUGAAAUUCGUAGAUAUUGGGAAGAACACCAGUGGCGAAGGCGGCUCACUGGCCCGGUACUGACGCUGAGGUGCGAAAGCGUGGGGAGCAAACAGG
rnacentral:rRNA from 1 species